UGCAUCCAAUUUUUUGACAUU
rnacentral:piRNA from 1 species